rnacentral:siRNA from 1 species
CUAUUGGGAACUGGGUCCAGACC